rnacentral:rRNA from 1 species
AAUUCUACACGCUCAAUACAUGCUAAAAACCCCGACUUCGGGAGGGGUGUAUUUAUUAGAUAAAAAACCAAUGCCCCUCGGGGCUCCUUGGUGAAUCAUAAUAACUUAACGAAUCGCAUGGCCUUGCGCCGGCGAUGGUUCAUUCAAAUUUCUGCCCUAUCAACUUUCGAUGGUAGGAUAGUGGCCUACCAUGGUGGCAACGGGUAACGGGGAAUUAGGGUUCGAUUCCGGAGAGGGAGCCUGAGAAACGGCUACCACAUCCAAGGAAGGCAGCAGGCGCGCAAAUUACCCAAUCCCGACACGGGGAGGUAGUGACAAUAAAUACUGAUACGGGGCUCUUUUGGGUCUCGUAAUUGGAAUGAGUACAAUCUAAAUCCCUUAACGAGGAACAAUUGGAGGGCAAGUCUGGUGCCAGCAGCCGCGGUAAUUCCAGCUCCAAUAGCGUAUAUUAAAGUUGUUGCAGUUAAAAAGCUCGUAGUUGAACCUUGGGUCUGGCUGGCCGGUCCGCCUCACCGCGAGUACUGGUCCGGCUGGACCUUUCCUUCUGGGGAAUCCCAUGGCCUUCACUGGCUGUGGGUGGAACCAGGACUUUUACUGUGAAAAAAUUAGAGUGUUCAAAGCAGGCCUUUGCUCGAAUACAUUAGCAUGGAAUAAUAGAAUAGGACGUGCGGUUCUAUUUUGUUGGUUUCUAGGACCGCCGUAAUGAUUAAUAGGGAUAGUCGGGGGCGUCAGUAUUCAGCUGUCAGAGGUGAAAUUCUUGGAUUUGCUGAAGACUAACUACUGCGAAAGCAUUCGCCAAGGAUGUUUUCAUUAAUCAGGGAACGAAAGUUAGGGGAUCGAAGACGAUCAGAUACCGUCGUAGUCU